rnacentral:rRNA from 1 species
GUGUCAGCAGCCGCGGUAAUACGGAGGGUGCUAGCGUUGUUCGGAAUUACUGGGCGUAAAGCGCACGUAGGCGGUUUACCAAGUUGGGAGUGAAAUCCCAGGGCUCAACCCUGGAAUUGCUCUCAAAACUGGUAGGCUAGAGUAAGGUAGAGGAUAGUGGAAUCCCUAGUGUAGAGGUGAAAUUCGUAGAUAUUAGGAGGAACACCAGCGGCGAAGGCGACUAUCUGGGCCUUUACUGACGCUAAGGUGCGAAAGCGUGGGGAGCAAACAGGAUUAGAUACCCUGGUAGUCCACGCCGUAAACGAUGAGUGCUAGUCGUCGGGACCUUGAGUUUCGGUGACGAAGCUAACGCGUUAAGCACUCCGCCUGGGGAGUACGGCCGCAAGGCUAAAACUCAAAUGAAUUGACGGGG